GGAGCCCUUACCGGCCGAGCCUGACGGCCGGAAGUGGCUGUUUUGGGACUGAGCUGGCGCAGCAAACUUCCGGUCCAGGUCUCCUACCUCGAGCUAGUCCACAGAUCGUGUCGGAGCCGAGCCCUGCUGAUCAGCAUGAUCACGGACGUGCAGCUCGCCAUCUUUGCCAACAUGCUGGGCGUGUCGCUCUUCCUGCUUGUCGUUCUCUAUCACUACGUGGCCGUCAACAAUCCCAAGAAGCAGGAAUGAAAGUGGCGCUUUCUCCGCCCCAGGUAACGGUACGGGGCUGUAGCGCCCAGCCCCAGAGAGGUUCCAGGACAUAGUCUGAGGCAAGAUGGAGGGUGUGAGGGGCCUUCACACUUCACUUCAUCCCUUCUACCCAUCACAACAUACAAAGCAACUACACCUGGAUUUUUCCAAACAACUUUAAUUUCCUCAAAGUCUUCCUUAACCUUAUGGAACAAGAAGCUGCCACUGAAUAGGGCCCAGCAUAGGGCUACUUUAUUUUCUACUCCCUCCCCCCAGUAUAAAAAUAUAGAUUUUUUUUGUGGUC